rnacentral:rRNA from 1 species
AUACGGAGGGUGCAAGCGUUACUCGGAAUUACUGGGCGUAAAGGACGCGUAGGCGGUUUAGAAAGUCAGAUGUGAAAGCCUAUGGCUUAACCAUAGAACUGCAUCUGAAACUCCUAGACUAGAGUGAGAGAGAGGUCAGUGGAAUUAGUGGUGUAGGGGUAAAAUCCGUAGAGAUCACUAGGAAUACUCAUAGCGAAGGCGACUGACUGGAACUUUACUGACGCUGAGGCGUGAAAGCGUGGGGAGCAAACAGAAUUAGAAACCCCAGUAGUCC